AAAACUAAAUACUCACAAUUCACAUGAAUGAUAACAACAGAACACUAAAUAAUAAGACAAUUGAAACUAUUAAAACAAAAGAAAAAAAGAAAAACUUUAGAUAAAUUUCUUGUAUAAUAAAAUUGAACGCGAUGACAGAAGAAACACUGGUUCUAAAUUUAUUAUGACACCUCACUUCGUAUAACGAUUUACUUCAUAACCAAAAAAAGUAUAAACUACAAUGUAAACACGACUGAAUAUAUUAGGGAUUCUAUGUGAAUUAUUAUGUAAAUAGAAUGCAGCUGUUGUGUCAAGAAAUAAUCAAAAUUAUGAAUUGUAAAAUGUGAUGUUAAAUUGUUUGACUGGAAGUGUCUACUCGUUACUUUCAACAAUGAUAAGAAGAAUUCAACCAUACCACAACUAUGAAAAUUUUUUGGAGACACUGCACUUAUUAUACUUACACUGGGAAAAAAACAGAUGUAGUAGUAUUCUAUCAAUAGAAAUGCACAAGUAAUGCAUCUUUGUUUUUUUUAAAUUGA